GGCUAAACAUAUUACCGAAACUGUGGAUGAACCUCUUUAGAGGUUCGUGGUAGGAGAGCGUUCUAAGGGCGGUGAAGUCAGACCGGAAGGACUGGUGGAGCGCUUAGAAGUGAGAAUGCCGGUAUGAGUAGCGAAAGAAGGGUGAGAAUCCCUUCCACCGAAUAUCUAAGGUUUCCUGAGGAAGGCUCGUCCGCUCAGGGUUAGUCGGGACCUAAGCCGAGGCCGAUAGGCGUAGGCGAUGGACAACAGGUAGAGAUUCCUGUACCAGUGCUAAUUGUUUAACCGAUGGGGUGACACAGAAGGAUAGGGAAUCGCACGAAUGGAAAUGUGCGUCCAAGCAGUGAGUGUGAGAAGUAGGCAAAUCCGCUUCUCGCGAAGCAUGAGCUGUGAUGGGGAAGGAAAUUAAGUACGGAAGUUCCUGAUUUCACGCUGUCAAGAAAAGCCUCUAGGAAGAGUAGUACUGCCCGUACCGCAAACCGACACAGGUAGAUGAGGAGAGAAUCCUAAGGUGAGCGAGAGAACUCUCGUUAAGGAACUCGGCAAAAUGACCCCGUAACUUCGGGAGAAGGGGUGCUCUAUUAGGGUGCAAGCCCGAGAGAGCCGCAGUGAAUAGGCCCAGGCGACUGUUUAGCAAAAACACAGGUCUCUGCAAAACCGUAAGGUGACGUAUAGGGGCUGACGCCUGCCCGGUGCUGGAAGGUUAAGAGGAGUGCUUAGCUUCGGCGAAGGUACGAAUUGAAGCCCCAGUAAACGGCGGCCGUAACUAUAACGGUCCUAAGGUAGCGAAAUUCCUUGUCGGGUAAGUUCCGACCCGCACGAAAGGCGCAACGAUCUGGGCACUGUCUCAACGAGAGACUCGGUGAAAUUAUAGUACCUGUGAAGAUGCAGGUUACCCGCGACAGGACGGAAAGACCCCGUGGAGCUUUACUGCAACCUGAUAUGGAAUGUUUGUACCGCUUGUACAGGAUAGGUAGGAGCCGAAGAGACGUGUGCGCUAGCAUACGAGGAGGCAAUGGUGGGAUACUACCCUGGCUGUAUGACCAUUCUAACCCGCCACGCUUAGCGCGUGGGGAGACAGUGUCAGGUGGGCAGUUUGACUGGGGCGGUCGCCUCCUAAAGAGUAACGGAGGCGCCCAAAGGUUCCCUCAGAAUGGAUGGAAAUCAUUCGCAGAGUGUAAAGGCACAAGGGAGCUUGACUGCGAGACUGACAAGUCGAGCAGGGACGAAAGUCGGGCUUAGUGAUCCGGUGGUUCCGCAUGGAAGGGCCAUCGCUCAACGGAUAAAAGCUACCCCGGGGAUAACAGGCUUAUCUCCCCCAAGAGUCCACAUCGACGGGGAGGUUUGGCACCUCGAUGUCGGCUCGUCGCAUCCUGGGGCUGUAGUCGGUCCCAAGGGUUGGGCUGUUCGCCCAUUAAAGCGGCACGCGAGCUGGGUUCAGAACGUCGUGAGACAGUUCGGUCCCUAUCCGUCGCGGGCGCAGGAAAUUUGAGAGGAGCUGUCCUUAGUACGAGAGGACCGGGAUGGACACACCGCUGGUGUACCAGUUGUUCCGCCAGGAGCAUCGCUGGGUAGCUAUGUGUGGCAGGGAUAAACGCUGAAAGCAUCUAAGCGUGAAGCCCCCCUCAAGAUGAGAUUUCCCAUUUCUUCGGAAAGUAAGAUCCCUGAAAGAUGAUCAGGUAGAUAGGUUUGGAGUGGAAGUGUAGCGAUACAUGGAGCGGACAAAUACUAAUCGAUCGAGGACUUAACCAA
rnacentral:rRNA from 1 species